rnacentral:rRNA from 1 species
UACAGAGGUCUCAAGCGUUUGUUCGGAUUCAUUGGGCGUAAAGGGUGUGUAGGUGGCGCCGUAAGUCGGGUGUGAAAUUUCGGAGCUUAACUCCGAAACUGCAUUCGAUACUGCGGUGCUUGAGGACUGGAGAGGAGACUGGAAUUCAUGGUGUAGCAGUGAAAUGCGUAGAGAUCAUGAGGAAGACCAGUGGCGAAGGCGGGUCUCUGGACAGUUCCUGACACUGAGACACGGAAGGCCAGGGGAGCAAACGGG